rnacentral:lncRNA from 1 species
CAAAAAAAAAAAAUGUGUUGAAGGUCUCACAGCUACUAAUUCAUAGAACCAGGAAUUAAAAUUGUGUCUAAGACUGCAACAUUGGUAUUUUUAGAAAGGAAAGGGAAUAGAUCAAUAAGACAAUCUGCACCAACCUAAAUUAAACCUAAAAGUAACUGCACCAACCUAAUAUUUAAGUAGCAAGUAUGAGCCCAGGAGUUUACAGUUGUAAUGAGCUAUGAUCAUGCCACUGCACUCCAGCCUAGGCAUCAGAGCAAGACACUCAUCUGAAAAAAAAAAAAAAAAAAAAGUGGUGACAAUGAAUUUAAACUCCUCUUUCAGCGAGCCUAACUCCGAAAGGAAUGGUAUUAUUUAGAGAACAUGGGGGCAAUGGUUUUUGGUUAUUGUUUUUAAUGGGAGAGAGUUGGGCAUGUUUAUAUGCUGAGGAAAGGAGGUAGUAGAUAUUCAAAACAGGAGACAGGUGGAAUAACCAAUAGGAGCCAGGUCACUGAAAAGAGGCUGGGUUUUAGAGCACCUGCAGAGCAUGGGCUUUCAGCAGGAAGAGGGACAGUUUUUCCUAAGAAAAAGAAGAUAGGGAGAGAGAAGGAGAGAAGGACUCAUGGAUAUAGAGAAGUUAUGGAGCUAGAAAACUGAUUCUGCAGAACGCGUACUAUCUCUGUGAAGGAGGAGGCACAGUCACACGAUGAGUGUGUGUGGAUGGGAGUGAGCUGAGGGAUGAGGGUUUGGAAUCACUGAUACACUGGGAAGGAAGCUGACCAGGCUUAGGAUUGCCAGUCAUCAUGGAGGACCCCACUAAAACUGGAGACCAUAAAUUUGGGUGGACCAGUAAGUGCAACUCCCACUUACUGUUACCAUUCCUGAGAUAUGUGCUUUACACAGAUCUUUCCUUUGUCUUUGUUCCUCUACUAAACUAUGCUGUGUCUAGGUAUAAAUUUAUUUUCGUUGUUGCUGCUUGAUAAUUGUUUUAUUUCCCAGAUAUGAUGAUUACUGGCUUCAAAUAAUUAUAGAAAGUUCACAGCUGGAAUUGAUUUGCAUAUUGUUUUCUCAUAUUCUUUUCUUCUGGAACUCCUUUUCAUAUACAUUUGACUUCAUGCCUCUUAACUUCUCUGUCACAUUUUCCAUCAUGUUUUUACUUAGACCUAUCUUCCAGUUACUAACUCCUUUAUUAUCUGCACCUAUUCUGUUUUUUAAACCAUCAGUCGAAUUUUAAUUUCUAUUCAUAGAUUUUUUUCAACUUCCAGAAGUUCUAGUGAAUUAUAAAAAUUUUUGCUAUGGUCUGAAUGUUUGUGCCCCUGUUCCCAAUUCAUGUGUUGAAACCUAAUCCUCAAUGUGAUAGUAUUAAGGGGUGGAGCCUUUAGGAGGUGAUGAGGUCAUGAGAGCACAGCCCUCAUGAGUGGGAUCAGUGCCCUUAUAAAAGAAGCCCAAGGAAGCUUGUAUGCUCCUUCCACCAAGUGAGGACACAGCUAGCAGGUGCUGUGUAUGGAGCCAAAAGCUAGCCCUUACCAGACACCAAAUCUACUGGCACUUUUUUUUUUUUUUUUUUUUUGAGAGAAAUCUCACUUUUGUCCCCCAGGCUUGAGUGCAAUGGCUCAACCUCGGCUCACUGCAACCUCCGCCUCCCAGGUUCAAAUGAUUCUCCCGCCUCUACCUCCCAAGUAGCUGGGAUUAAGGCACCUGCCACCAUGCCCAGCUAAUUUUUCUAUUUUUUAGUAGAGACGGGGUUUCACCAUGUUGGCCAGGCUGGUUUUGAACUCCUGACCUCAGAUGAUCCGCCCACCUCAGCCUCCCAAAGUGCUGGGAUUACAGGCGUGAGCCACUGCACCCAGCCUCUACUGGCACCUUGAUCUUGGACUUCCUAGCCUCUAGAACUAGAAGAAGUAUAUUUCUGAUAUUUUUGUUAACUCAUCUAAGGUAUUGUGUUAGAGUAGCCCAAACAGGCUAAGAGAAACUUCCUGCUCUUUACCGAGGGACUAUAUUUUUCUUAUGUUUGGAUUCCUGAAUUUAAUUAAAUUAAAUAAUUUUAAAUAUACAGUAUUAUAGUCUUCCUAAGAUAAUUAUAUUAUCUGAAAUUCUUUAUGAUCUAAUCAGCAUUUGUUCUAUUUGCAAUCUCUCAUAGUGGAUUCUGUUUUUAAAUGUUCAAUUGUAAGUUCAUCUUCACCAGUGCUUCAGUGAAAAAAUCCAACAUUUAUCCCUCCAGAAUGUCUUAUAUUUACUUCUAAAAAUCCCAGGAGUAUUACCACCCCUUAAUGUUAAUUUUAGUGUUAAUUUCUCAACAUAGAUGUUUCCAGCCCAUACAAGUAUUGUAAUUCAAGCUCCAAACACAAGUGAAGUCAAAUCUAUGGUUAUAAAUGUCUUAGGGAGAAUUUUUCUUCCAGAGAUUGGGCUAAAACAGACAAGCCACAUUACUGGUAUUUUUUUUCUAGACCACACUUGCUCUUCAAGGGUCCCAGCUAGCAAGAAUGGAGGGGGACCUAAGGAAGAAGACCCUAUUAGAUAUUUAGGAGGUAUACAGGAAGAGGCAGGAAAGGAAGAAAAAGCAAUUUUAAACCCUCCAAAACAAAAUGAGCCCACAAACUAAAAUUCUAACACCUGAAUAAAUCUAAUGGUAAGACAGAUGGCAUAAAAUUAAUAAAAGAAAAAAAUUGGACCAUGAACUAACUCCAGAUGAAAUUAUUUUUUAUGGAGGAUUUUGAUAAGUCUCCUAAAGUAAGUAUGCCCAAAAAGAUAAACUAAAGCAAAGCAUUUAAAUUUUUUAAUUAUGAGAAAUCAUUAUGCAUUAAUGAAACAAGACCAUAUAAAUAUAAGAAAAAAUAAUUAUCUUGGGCAUGAAAUAUAUAAUCAUUUAAAUUAAAAACUCAAUAGAUGGUACCCAGAUAGGCUUAGAAAACAGUAUUCAAGGAUUCAUCCACGCCUGUAAUCCCAGCACUUUGGGAGGCUGAGGCAGGUGAAUUGCCUGAGGUCAGGAGUUCGAGACCAGCCUGGCCAACAUGGUGAAACCCCAUCUCUGCUAAAAAUACAAAAAUUAGCUGGGCGUGGUGGCACAAGCCUGUAAUCCCAGCUACUCAGGAGGCUGAGGCAGUAGAAUUGCUUGAACCCAGGAGGCGGAGGUUGCAGUGAGCCGAGAUCACACCACUGCACUCCAGCCUGGGCAACAAGAGCGAAACUCUGUCUCAAAAAAAAAAAAAAAAAAAAAAAAAUUCACCUGGAAAGGAACAAAGAAGAGAAUAAAAAAUAUGAAAGUACAAUUAGGUACUACUGGAGAUAAUUGAGAAGAUAAAAAAUAUAUCUAAUAUCUAAUUGGAGAAUCAAAAUGGAUGCAAUAAGAAAAGCAAAUAUUAAAAUUUUCCAGAACUAAAGAAAGUCAUGUGUUCUCAAAAGAAAGUGAAGCAAGCAGGAUAAAAGACAUUUUUAGACCUAGACAUACCAUAGUGAAACAUAAGAAUGUAAGGAAUUAAAAAAAUUAUAAAAGUAUCAGGGAGAAAGUUAGCAUCCCUAUAAAGGAAAAAUAAUGAGAUGAUAGUUGAUUUGUCAUCAACAAUAAUAGAAGCCAGGAGAAAAAAUAGUUGUCAACCUAAAAUUAUAUGCCCAGCAAAAUUACUGCUGAAGACUCAAGUCAAAACAAAAACAAUCUUUGAUAUGAAAAGAAUAAGAAAGUUUACUACUCACUGACAUAUCAUAAAUAAUUACUAAAGAAUAUACAUCAACAAGAAAAAAACUGAAAUCAGAGGGAAAGCACGGGAUAGGAAAAAAAUGUGACAAUGUAAAAAAGGGACACUUUACUUUUUAAAGGACACUUUAAAAAAAAUCAAUUUUUAAAGUGAUUAAGGCCGGGUACAGUGGAUCAUGCCUGUAAUCCCAGCACUUUGGGAGGCUGAGGUGGGUGAAUCACAAGGUCAGGAGUUCAAGACCAGCCUGGCCAAGAUGGUGAAACCCUGUCUCUACUAAAAAUACAAAAAUUAGCCAGGCAUGGUGGCAGGUACCUGUAAUCCCAGCUACUCGGGAGGCUGAGGCAGAGAAUUGGCUUGAACCCCGGAGGCAGAGGUUGCAGUGAGCCGAGAUCACACCACUGCACUCCAACCUGGGUGACAGAGCAAGACUCCAUCUCAAAAAAAAAAAAAAAGAAAGAAAAAGAAAAAGAAAAGAAAAAAAAGUGCUUAAAAAAAUACAUUAGUCAGAAAUUUCCAACUUGAAUCAUACCAUUAAGAAAAUGAACACAAAUACCCAGAUGGUGAGAAAAUGUUAGCAAAGCAGAUAUCUGACAAAGAACUAGUAGCAAAGAUAUAUAAAUAAUUUUAAAAUUAUAAAGACACCAC